GUCCCUCGCUGCCCGCGCUUGUCCCUGGCCAUCAGGGGUCCCCAGAGACGGCUCGGUCAGGGUGACCCGGGGGGAGGGGCGCGCAGAGCUGGGGGGCCUCUGAGAAGGGCUCAGGAGAUACCCGAUGAACAGCUUCCGCCCCAGCCUUUCCCUGCCCACCCCCAGGGCCCGGAUGUGGGGCGGGGGCUCCUGCCUCAGGACACUGACCCAUCACGGAGGCCUUGAAUGCCAAAGUCAGGGCCGUGCAUGUCUGAGACCCGUGUCUUUCUGUCCUCUCCUCAGGUAGUUCUGGCUGCAGGCUGCGGAGCCAUGACCAGGGGACAACAGGUGGCGGGAAUAGGAGGAGGCCAUGUCAGGGACACCUUGGGGAGACGCCUCCCCACCCCCGGGGAGCCUGGAACCCACUCCAGCCUUCGACUCUCCUGCUACUCCAUCAGCAUGUUCCCUGGAUUCUGCCCACAGUGCCUGCCCUUGGGUUUACAUUUCCUCCCUCUCUGUUUGGCAAACUCCUCUUCAUCCUUCAACACCUCAGCUUCAAUGCCCCUUCUCAUACACCAUCCAAGAAAAGCCUCCACUUUCCUCUGAGCUCCUGCUGCCGAAGAUUUCUGUCUCAGUCUUGAUGCACAAAACCGGGAGAGGUCUGUGGCCCCUCCCAAUAGCUUGAAGACUCGGCUCUGAAGCCAUUGGAGUCACUCAGUCUGGGACUAGGGACAGAGGGACUGUCCUGGGUGUGCUGUUCUGAAUAAAAGACUAAGUGUCUGAAAGCAAGAUCAAGUUCAAGCUCCGUGACUGGGCUGCAAAACUGGGGGGCCGGGGUGGGGGGGCACCCAGCUGCCUACACUGCUCUCCCAGGGCCUCGGGCUCUGUCUCCACCCUGGGAGCAAGUCUGGGCUGAGAAGAGUUUCGGUGAGACUUGGCAGCCACUCUGGCUCCAUGGGGCCUGAGGCGUCCAGGGGGAGGGGCCG
rnacentral:lncRNA from 1 species